CCUGGGGUUCCUGCCUGAGCUGAGGCUCAGUUGCAUCUGCAGAGUGGAGACAUCCAUCAUACGUGAACUGCUGCAGAGCAAACCUGGCUUAAAAGAGAACAAGCCUGAUGCCAUCUGCCCUGGAGAGCAGCCCUCAGAAUAGAGUUCCAGAGUUUGCAGUGAGGUGGGAAGGGCCUCAGGAGCUGCAGAUGCCCACCAUGGGGCAAUCUGGCCCUGGGGCCAAGGGCUGGAGAUGGUAGAGCAUGACAUGCUCAGACACAUCUUCAGUAUGUGUGCAGCGUGUUCUUCAGACACUGUUAAUUUUUUAAGAAGCCCCAGGUCUCAUUCUGCAAAGCCAGAUGUGCAUUUUGGGCUCUCAUAAAUGCUCACUGCUGCAUGAUGGGCUUGAGACCCAACAACCUGGGAUGGUGGAGAGAGGAUGUUUAAAAGGUCUGGGCUGGGAGUUUUGGACAGGACAGCCUGUGACAGGGCUUCCUUUGGUGUCCCUGGGACCAACGGAACCUGAUUGUCUUUGACUUGUCUGAGCAACAAGUCAAGACUGAGCUUUAAAUGAAGGUCCCCUCAAGGAUCAUCAGGUUCCAACACCCUGCUGCAGGCUGGGUUGCCAGCCACUAGAUAUGUUCUAAUAACUGAGUGAGAGAUAAAAGGGAAACCUCCGUAUGCUGUGGGGAAGCCACCGUCUGCCCUGUUUUACAACAGCAAACUUUGCACAAACAGUUCCUGCUGAGAAUAUAUUCGUAUUUCAUGGCUGUGCAAUUAAAGUCUCUCCCAGGCUGUGCUAAUGAAAGGUUUCAGCCGGCAAGAAGCAAGUCCAGAAGAACUAAUUACAGGCUUGGAGAAAAAAGCAAUUAUCUCUGUGUUUUCUGGGGACUUGCUGGGUUUGACUGUGGGAUUUCUAUUUGGUUAUAAGGAUAGGUGAGGAGUCUCUUCAUAGGUGACAGGAAAUGGGAUGUGAAAAGAUGGCCUCAAGUUGCAUUGGGAAGGUUUAAGUUGGGUGUUAGAAACACUUUCUUCAUGGAGAGGGUGGUCAGGCAUUGGAAGGGGCUGCUCGGAGAGGUGAUGGAGUCCACAUCCCUGGAUGUAUCUGAGAGAUGUGUGGCUGUGUGGCACCGAGGGAUAUGGUUUAACAAUGGGACUCAGUAAGUCAAUUUGAUGGUUGGACUUCCUGAUCUUAAAGGACUUCUCCACCCUAAAUGGCUCUGUGUAGAAAUCUGGGAAGCCACCUGGGGGUGAUGGCACACUGCCUAGGCAUCUUCCACAUCUGUGCAAGGAGAGCAGCUCUGGAGCCACAGUUUCUGCUCCUUGUGAUCUCCAUUCUGCUAAGUUGCUGUUCAUGAAAGGAAAGGUUUAGAAUCUGCAAAUUCAAUAUAUGUUGAAGGAAAAAUAACCUUUUAUUUUAUUUGGGAGGAUCUGGGGAUGCACGUUCAGACAGCACAGUGCAUUUGUCUUUGUGUCAAGGCAGAAUUAUCAAACGGUCAGCAGUUACAGAAGAGCUGCGGGAGCAAGAGACCUGUUUCCCAUUAAAUAAGGCAGAGAAUGGGGAGCAAUUCCCGUGUUUUAAAGCGGAUUAAAUAUCCAGAGUCCUUGAGAAAGCUUUCCAAAUUUCACUCUUCAAUUAUGUGUUUUAGUUUGACGGAGAAGAAAAACAAAAUCCCUCCUUCCGCACUGCACAGAGCAAUUUCUGCAAUCCUCCCAAUCCCCAUGAAUAACGCAGCCAGCACAGCUUAGCAGCUGCCCGUCAGUAGGCUCGGCAGGAAUCCGUGUGGAUCUGGAGGCUGCUUACAAACCAGGUGUCGUGGGGACAUCUGCAGGCCCCCAACCCCAUGCCGUGGGGAUGCAGCAUGGGAGGAUGCUAUCGAGGCUGCUGGAUGUCUGCGAGCACAAACCACAGCGUGGCUUCCCAUGGCUGGAACCCAACAAGGGCGGUUUGGUUUCCUCUGCACUGAUUGAUGAUGGCUUCUAAUAGGUUGAUAUACUUUUCCCAUUUUAUGCGACGGUUGAUGCUUAGCAUGUGGUUGGUGAAAUGGCUCUGUGUUCAGUGCUGUAACAAAUUGCCUUGGCCAGGUUUAUCUGCUGGGCUUCAUUAGGGACCUCUGGUGCGCCAGAUUCUGGGGGUGCUGAAAAUGAGACUUGAAUUGAGUUAUUCCUUGUGGGUUGCAGGCUAAUUCUUCUUUCAUCUAAAGUCUUUUCAUAGUUCACCUCUCUCCCCCUUAUCUGUGACGGGUAAUUUGAUUUGCACUGUUAUUUCAAAACAAUUCCUUUUGGUUCCCUUUAUGAGUUGAGAAAGGCAAGGCUUAAGGACUUAAGCAUCACAGGCUGCUUCCAAACUCUGUUUUGAAGGGGCCUGGGAGGACGUGGGGGGGGAGGAAGAGCAAUGCGGCAGUGCAGCAAAGUGUCUGCAGAUUCCAUUAGGAUUCCUCCAAAGUGCAUCCCAGCCUUGCUCCAAGGGCUGGCACGAUGGAUCACACCACAGUGUGCCAAAGCUCCUGUUCUAAAGAAUCCCUGCUCAGCAUGCUGGUGCUGCUGCUCUUUUUAGCAAUUUAUUCCUGGUGCAGCGCCAUGAAACUCCUCUAGCUGAACCAUGUCGGCAGUUGUUUCUGUAGGGAGAAAUAUAACAUGCAGUCAUGGAGAUUCGUGGUUCACAGCUUCCUGCUAGUCUGAAAACGCUGAGCCAUGAUUAUAUUCUAGAACCCAGAGCAGCUUACUUCCCCAGUUCAUUGGCAGGGCGGGCAGCAGGUACCUGCACAGAACUGCAAGGAGCCAGCGAUGUCAGUGGGGCAUCCCAGUGGCAUUGGCAUGAGAUCAAGGGUCAAUGGAGAGGCUGAACAAAUCCCACACCACAACUGCGAGGGCCAUCCUGUUAGGGUGGAGGUGCUGGAAAGAAGUCCCUGAGAACAAAAGACCUCCCAAUAGCAGGGGGACCUCUUGCCCAGAAUCCCAUAUUUAUGGCAGUUGCCCAAAAGAUGGCAAGCUCUGAGUCAUCUGCAGAACAAGAGGUGAAGGCCAGAAUUGCUCGUGGUGUUGGUGUCAGUGAGACACCUCUUAGAGAUGUCCAGGAAAGAGAGUUUUGGUCUUUCCCCUUAUCCCACUGCAGAACUGGUUUCUGUGUUUCCCUGUCUGAGAGAAUUCUUGUCUGCCUCUUCCUCAGCUCUUGGACCCUGGGGAACUGGAGCUUCAUGGCAGAGCAGCUCAGACAAAGGCCAAAAGGAGGAGAUGAGAAAGAAAUCACUGUGAAAAUAUGCUCUGAAAAAUGUAUUGGCUUGCAACACUCCAUGGAAGUUCUCAAAGCAAGAAAAUCUUUAUUGAGAAACUGAAAAAUAUUCUCCCAGUCUUUUUUUUUUCACAGGCAAAAGAAUAGAAGUAUGUUAACCCAACCAAUAUUUGGUUGGUUGGUGGUUGGUUGCUGGAAAAUCAAGUGAAAUGGGAAGAGGUCCAUUGAUUGCCGCUAAAGCCAUCUGUGUGCUUGGGCAGCCUCUCCCUGGCCCUGCUGGGCAGCAGCUGAUGGUUCACGUGCUUUUCACAUUUUUAGUUGAUUUUUUUUUUUUUUCCAGACAACUUGGAUUUCACUUGAAAUCUGUCUGGCAGGACCUGGCCUCCAGCCUGCUUGGAACCCAUGGAGAUUAAUGACAUGGAAAAUGAGGAACGCUGACUGUAAAGCUCUGAAACUGUGGGAAAAGGCAGCUUAGAGCCAGGCUUCGGUGAGGAGGUGUGUGACUUGGUCUGGGAUGGUGUUUGGAGAGGCAAAGGCUCCUGCUGCUCUUUCAAGGGAACAGCCUCGUAUUUAAUAAGAACUCUCUCCUCACAAUGGAACUGGAGUGUUUCAAGUACAGCAAGUCCUUUCCUUCCCCUCCUGGCGGUGUGAUCCAGGUUUCUGUGGUCAAGGACGUGUUCGUGAAAAUAUGGACAGCACGAGUUGGAGGAGGAAUCAGCCAGGAACUCCCUUCUCUGAUUCCAUCUCCUGUGAGAUGUUCUGUGAGGAGGAGGAAGGUGCUCACCCUGUUCAGAUUGGGAGGGGGAGGUUGGGGUCUCCAGCAGCAGGAGGAACAUAGAAUCGUAGAACAUCCUGAGUUGGAAGGGACCCAUGGGGAUCAUCGAGUCAAACAGCGGGUCUCUGC
rnacentral:lncRNA from 1 species